rnacentral:rRNA from 1 species
UGUCUCAAAGAUUAAGCCAUGCAUGUCUCAGUACAAGCCAAAUUAAGGUGAAACCGCGAAAGGCUCAUUAAAUCAGUUAUGGUUCCUUAGAUCGUACCCACAAUUACUUGGAUAACUGUGGUAAUUCUAGAGCUAAUACAUGCAAACAGAGCUCCGACCGGAGACGGAAGGAGUGCUUUUAUUAGAUCAAAACCAAUCGGUGGCGGGUUCGCU